rnacentral:rRNA from 1 species
CUACGGGCUGCACCAGUUAGGAAUAUUUUGCAAUGCGCGCAAGCGUGACAAAUUGAGCCAGAGUGAUUUUCAUAUUGAAAAUCUUUUGUGGAAUGUAAAAAGUUUCACGAAUAAGGACUGGGUAAGACUAGUGCCAGCCGCCGCGGUAAUACUAGCGGUCCAAGUCGCAGCCAUUUUUAUUGGGUCUAAAACAUCCGUAGCUUGUUUGAUAAGUUUCUUGUGAAAUCUGAUAUCUCAAAUAUCAGGCGUGCAAGAAGUACUGUCAAGCUAGAGACUGGAAGACGUGAGAAGUACGUUUAAAGUAGCGGUAAAAUGUGUUAAUCUUAAACGGACUUACAAUAGCGAAGGCAUCUCACGAGGACAGUUCUGACAGUAAGGGAUGAAGGCUAGGGGCGCAAAACGGAUUAGAUACCCUGGUAGUC